rnacentral:rRNA from 1 species
AUUGAACGCUGGCGGCAUGCUUUACACAUGCCAGUCGAACGGUAACAGGUCUUCGGAUGCUGACGAGUGGCGAACGGGUGAGUAAUACAUCGGAACGUGCCUAGUAGUGGGGGAUAACUACUCGAAAGAGUAGCUAAUACCGCAUGAGAUCUACGGAUGAAAGCAGGGGACCUUCGGGCCUUGUGCUACUAGAGCGGCUGCUGGCAGAUUAGGUAGUUGGUGGGGUAAAGGCUUACCAAGCCCGCGAUCUGUAGCUGGUCUGAGAGGACGACCAGCCAGACUGGGACUGAGACACGGCCCAGACUCCUACGGGAGGCAGCAGUGGGGAAUUUUGGACAAUGGGCGAAAGCCUGAUCCAGCAAUGCCGCGUGCAGGAUGAAGGCCCUCGGGUUGUAAACUGCUUUUGUACGGAACGAAAAGCCUGGGGCUAAUAUCCCCGGGUCAUGACGGUACCGUAAGAAUAAGCACCGGCUAACUACGUG